UUACAGCCAUAUCAUGUUGAAACACAGGUUCUCAUCUGAUCACCAAAAGUUAAGCAACAGUGAGCCUAGUCAGUACUGAGAUGACUGACCACUGACGAAUACUAGGUGCUGGAAG